UACGUAGGUGGCAAGCGUUGUCCGGCUUUACUGGGCGUAAAGAGCGCGCAGGCGGCUGGUCAAGUCCGAUGUGAAAUCUCCCGGCUUAACUGGGAAACUGCAUCGGAAACUGAUCGGCUUGAAGGUGGGAGAGGGUAGUGGAAUUCCCGGUGUAGUGGUGGAAUGCGUAGAGAUCGGGAGGAAUACCAGUGGCGAAAGCGGCACCCUGGCCUUGGCCUGACGCUCAUGUGCGAAAGCGUGGGGAGCAAACGGG
rnacentral:rRNA from 1 species